rnacentral:rRNA from 1 species
UCCAGACUCCUACGGGAGGCAGCAGUGGGGAAUAUUGCACAAUGGGGGGAACCCUGAUGCAGCGACGCCGCGUGAGUGAAGAAGUAUUUCGGUAUGUAAAGCUCUAUCAGCAGGGAAGAUAAUGACGGUACCUGACUAAGAAGCCCCGGCUAACUACGUGCCAGCAGCCGCGGUAAUACGUAGGGGGCAAGCGUUAUCCGGAUUUACUGGGUGUAAAGGGUGCGUAGGUGGCAGGGCAAGUCAGAUGUGAAAGCCCGGGGCCCAACCCCGGUACUGCAUUUGAAACUGUCCGGCUGGAGUGCAGGAGAGGUAAGCGGAAUUCCUAGUGUAGCGGUGAAAUGCGUAGAUAUCACGAAGAACCCCGAUUGCGAAGGCAGCUUACUAAACUGUGACUGACAUUGAUGCUCGAAAGUGUGGGUAUCAAACAGGAUUAGAUACCCUAGUACG